AUUGAACGCUGGCGGCAUGCUUUACACAUGCAAGUCGAACGGUAACAGGCCUUCGGGUGCUGACGAGUGGCGAACGGGUGAGUAAUGCAUCGGAACGUGCCCAAUCGUGGGGGAUAACGUAGCGAAAGUUACGCUAAUACCGGCAUAAGCCCCUGAGGGGGGAAAAGUGGGGGACCGCAAGGCCUCACGCGAAUGGAGCGGCCGAUGUCAGAUUAGCUAGUUGGUGGGGUAAAGCCCACCAAGGCGACGAUCUGUAGCGGGUCUGAGAGGAUGAUCCGCCACGACUGGGACUGAGACACCGGCCCAGACUCCUACGGGAGGCAGCAGUGGGGAAUUUUGGACGAAUGGGCGCAAGCCUGAUCCAGCCAUGCCGCGUGCGGGACGAAGGCCUCGG
rnacentral:rRNA from 1 species